rnacentral:lncRNA from 1 species
UGCGAAAUUGGGCUGCUUAGAGGCCCAAGUGAACAAGCGGAGUGCUGAGGACUCGUCGCGUUGGCGACGGAGAGCGUCGAGGAGUUGAGUAGAAGUGAAAUUGGAAGGGAGUUGACGAGAGAAAGUGGAAGAUGAAGAUGAUUGUGAGGUGAGUUGCCGAUGGUCGUGGUGUUGUGUGGAGGCAAAAGAAAUGGUGGUGGGUUUGGAAGAGAAAGGGAGGAAGGGUUGUCGUGGGAGAGGCCAAGGGUGACUCUUGAGACACGAAGAGAAUGACAUUUCGGGGGAUUUGACGGAGAUUGAACAUGAAAAUUUGGAAAAGAAAGUUUCUUUCUUUCAGGAAUGAGCUAGUGAGCUGCAGCUGGAGUGAAAAGAACUGGAUUUUCCUUCUUUUUUUCUUUUUUCUUUUUUCUUUUUUUUUGGUUCCCUUCAAGGUCGUACGUUUCCGGGCGUUUUUCUGCCAAUUGCAUAAACCAAUCCUGAAUCCUUAACUAGGGUGGGCAAACCCAAUCCAAUCCAAUUGAUUCAACCCAAUUUAACCCAAUUUAAUUUAAUUUUGACGGAUUGAGUAAAUUAUUAUAGAUUAAUUAGGUCAAUUUUUUUAAACUCAAUCAACAAUUAAGUUAGGUUGAAUCAAUUAUGAUGAACUCAUGUAACCAAACCCAACCCACAUAAAUAAUAAUAAGAAGAAGAAUAAGAUAAUUUUUAAUUACAAAAUCUUAAAAAUUGAAACAGUUAAUCUAUACUUUUAUCAUUUUUUUAUUUUUUUUUUUAUAAAAGAGAUUAUUUUGUUCUUGUAUUUCCUGACUCUAAUUCUAAAACUAAAAUCACUCUCUCAAAUCUAGGGAUGGCAAUGGGGUGGGGUGGGGGUGGAGAGGCCUACCUCAUUCCCCCACCCCGUUAGAAAUUUUUACCUCCAUUUCCCACCCCAUUCCUCAAUAAAUUUAGUGGGGUGGGGAUAGAGAAUCCCCAUGUGGGGAAUGAUUUCCCCAUCCCCACUCCAUUCCCCAUUUAUCUAUUUUAUAAUAUGUAUAAAUAUAUUAUUUUAGUAAGUUAAAAAUUAGAGACUUAAAAUAAAAUUAUCAUCAUAUUAUAAAAUAUUUAAAUUCUUUUAAAAAAAUAUCUAAAAAUUUGAAACAAUAUCUUAAAAUGAUAUUAAAAGUGAAAAAUAUUUAAAGAGCGUAGCACCUUAAAAGAGAAAAGAAAAUAUAACAAUGUUUCAGAGUUGAAAAAUAUUAUAGGAUUUUCUUUCAUUCAUAUCUUGUUUAUAUUGCAUAAAAAUUAAAAAAAAAUUAUUAAUUGACAUUAUAAUUGAUAAAAUAAAAAUUAUUAAAUAAGAAUUAAAAACAUAUUUAUAUAUAAUGGGGAUUGGGGUGGGGAGUACAAAACCAAACCCAACCCCAUUAAGAAUUUGGGAAUUAUUUUCCCCCACUCCCCACCCCAUUCCCCCAAAAAUUAUUCAAAAUUUUCCCCAUUUUGGGUGGGGCUCCAUAGGGCCCCAAACUCGUGGAAAAUUUUGCCAUCCCUACUCAAAUCUCAAUUCUCAAUCAAUUAAGAUACUUUUCGAUUUUGUUCAUUCUAUAUUCUUUUAAUUUUCUUUAUCAAAUAUUAGAUAGUGAAUAGAAUUUUCAUAAUAUAAUAUUUUUAUAUUAGAUUUCAAUAAGUUUUAUUUCAACUUUCAUAUAUUUUUAAUAUUAAUUUGACUUCAAAUCUUCAACCCAACCCAACCCAAUCCGUAAAUUAUCGGGGUUAGGUUGAACAUAUUUAGGGGUGGGCAAAAAAAGCUGAUUAAUCAAAAAUCGAAUCGAACCGUUCGGUUCGGUUCGAUUUCUUUACAGUUUUUUUACAUCUAAAAAACCAAAAUAGUAAUUUAGUAUAGUAGUAAAAUCAGUCGGUUCGGUUUUUAAUUUUUAAAAAAAAACUGAAAAACCGAACCGAUCACAAGAAAAAACCGAACGCAAAUUGAUUUUUACACAAUCCCUAAUCUAACACAUUCUUGAUUCUUCUCAUCUUCUGAUCUUCACAGACUUCACUCUUCAAAAGUGUCGUCCCCGCUGCUGCUGCUGCUCAUCCUUCACGAACCUUCACCGCUGGAAUCUCGUCCCCGCUGUAGCUGCUGCUGCUGCUGCUCAUCCUUCACGAAUCUGAUUUGCCACCGCUGCUCAUCGCCGACUCUCGUCCCCGCUGCCACUGUCACCUACUAUCAACUGUUGGUGCUGUCACGGUGCUCCCCUGCUGCCAUCUGACUGCUGUUGUGAGCUGCUGCUGGUAACUGCUGUUUUUGCAGAGUUAUUUGACUUGGUAAAUGGUAUAAUAUAAUCUGUGCUAGUUAUGAUUGCAUAUUAACAAAGUUAUUAAUGCUUGAUCAAUUGCGCAAAGUUUCGCAUAAUAAUAAUUAAUUCAUUAAUUAUUUGAUUUUAUUAAGCCAUUCAAUUGCCACGUGUAUUAUUGUUGAUGCUUCCUGGAUGCCCUGAAUCCUGAUGCAUGCACUUGUUCUUAACCAUUAUUUCAAGGAGCUGGCUAAGUUACGGAUUCUGUAACAUACAGAUCCAACUUAGCCAGCUCCUGAUUGGUUAGCUAGCUACCAAACAAAAACAAUUGCAUGCUUUUUCUCCAUAUGCAGAACAGGUGUGGUGCAUGCAUUGGGUGCGUAUGUUACAGAAUCUGUAAGGUAGACAUGUCCUUAUUUCAAUUGUUAUUUUUUAAAAUUUGAUACUGUACAAGUAAUUGUUCUGGCGGUGGUUAUCUUUAAAGGUGGAUGAGUCAUGAGUUUGCUUUUUUAUUUUUGUUGGUAAUUAAUUAUAAUUUAAUUUAACUCCAGUCGUAACAUCCAUGAAACUACCCAUCCAUUAUGUAACAACAUCACAAUAAUCAAGAUCCCUGUAUAACAAACAUCUCCAUUAACCCUUAAUUAUUGUGAGAUGUCAUUAGCAUAUAUAUUGAUUUUUUAUUUGUUAACUUUUUUAUGUUUGUGGUAGAUUUAUUAAUUUAAGGUUUUAAAUUUUAAAAAAACCCAAAAUAGGCUCAAUAGACCCAUAAUCAAAAUAACCGAACCGAAUCGAAUCGAAUUAUUUCAAUUAAUCGAGUAUUUGAUUAUUUCGGUAAUUUGAUUAAUCGCGAUUAUGAUUUUAAAAUAAUCAUAAUUGAACGAUUAUAAAAAAUUUAGUAAAAAACCGAACCGAACCGAACCGCGCCCACCCCUAAACAUAUUUAUUUAAUUAGGUUAAGUUUAAUUUAUCUCAACUCAUUCAAUAAUGGGUUGGGUAGUUUUCACAAACCCAAUCCAAUCUAACCCAACACAUGCCCACCCCUACCUUAACUUAGGCGGUGGAGGAGAUGCCAACGACGUCGUAAGCAGUGUUUUAAAAGCCUACCAACCAAAACGCUUCGUUGGUUUUCAGGGAUGGUUGAAUUAUUUUGGACCGUUUAAUCUUUUGGGCCCAAAAUUUGGGUCCAACUAACCCUGGCAUCCACUGUGAGUUAUUGGGCCCUUAUCCAACCCAAUGUUAAACAUUUUCACAUCUUCUUGAGGUUCCCCCCAGUCAAAUUGAGUCACACCAUGUGUCCCUGUUUAAAAUUAUGGUACAGUAGAAUUUUAAUAAAUUAAUACUCAAUAAAUCGAUAAUCUCGAUAUAAAUAAUAAUUUUAUCAAUCCCAAACCAAUGUGGUAAUUAAUAAUUUGAUAAAUUUAUUAUAUAAUAAAUUUUUUAAAAAAAAUUAUUUUUCUAUAAGACCCAACUAAUAUAAAAAUUAAUAAUGAAUUAAUUUAAAAAUAAAUACGUAUGAUAUGUUUAUGAUUUCUUUGUUAUAAUGACAUAAUGCUUUAAAUAUUUCAUUGGUUAUUGUUAUAUUCUAUGUGCUACAUUGGUUAUUGUUGUAUUCUAUAUGACAUGUUAAGAAAAAUAAGAGAGAGAUUAGUUAAUAUGUCACCUCCAAGUAGUCUUCUCUGAUGAGUUACUGAAUAAUUGCUAUCCAGCCAUGCAAUCUAGCGAAAAGAAUACCAUAUUAUUGAUUCUUUCAAUUAAGAUCAAAUCAAAGUCAUAUCAUAUAGUUUGAUAGAAUCACUGUAUUAUUUAAUUAUACUAUCAUACUUGAUAAAAGCUUAGAUUAUGAGCCUGAAUUUAUCUUUAAAUAUUAAAAUAUUAUUAAUUUAUCGAUAUAUUAAUAUUUACUAAAUUAACAAAAUUUUCAUGGUCUUAAGACUAUCAAUUUACGAGGUUAUAGUGUAUUUAUACUUUUCUCAUAUCAUAUCCCACAAAAUCUAAAAAAAGUAUCUUAAGAUUAAUUGUAGAAAUCGCACUAAAUUAUUUAUUAAUCACAUCAGUUGUCACAUAAAUUGAAAUUCAAGAGUUUGGACUCCGCAUAAGAGUUAAGACUUAAAUACUGAGACCCUAACAUAUUACUGGAAUGAAUUCUUAUCGAUAGACAUAUGAGUCAACAUAAUCUUAUCAAAUAGACAACUAGAAUGUUGAGGAAACGAAGUACAUAGAAAUCGAAAUGCGUAGUUAUAAUUAAUUAAACAGCCAUAACUUAGGGAACCAGCGAAUGUGUUGGAAGGCCGCGGGAGAUUAACAAAAGUUCGCUUCCUACACCGUGCUAGAAUAAACAUAGUCCUUUCCUUUUCCAAUGCACCAAACAUUAAGCAGUUAGCAAACGCUGCAUUGAAAGUGCAUAUACUUGUAUUUACUUGUAAAAGUUUUGCUCUUAUCAAUAACACCUAGAUUGCAUUGUGCACAUGAUACUCCCGUCUGUAAAUUAGCUGUAACGAAUUGGGACGAACUUAUGAGCCUUCAGCACUAGAAAAAGUUUAGAAUAUAUAAAAAAUACCUUGCUGAUAACUCUAUGAAAUGAGAGUUAUCAUGACACUAUUAGACUUAAAUCAAGAUUACUUAGAGAGUAAAUGAUAUUUUUUUAAUUGCAUUUUAGUUAUAUUUUGCAUGAAUAUCCAUUUUAGUUUAUUUUUAAUAAAUUGCAUUGUUUUAUAAUAAUUUGUGUGCCUAGAUCGUAUGCAUAAUUGUAGGUGAUCGGAAGCUCAAAUUUCAAGGGAGAAAUGCUGCUGCAAUAGGCUUGCAAAAAUAAGGAAAGAACAUGAUUAUAGAAGAAUUGAAAUAAGUAUGAAACAGUGCAUGUGCUAAAGCCAUUACUAUAGCAUUGUUGUUGUAGUAAUUCUGGACCAUUGAUAGAGAAGAUUUCACACAAGAUACUUAGAAGAUUGCGAUAUGAAGUUUCUUAAAAUGGAAGAUAUGUGCCCUAGACUUUUACUUGCCCUAAUUUUAAGAUAUAAAAGAGCACACACUCAAAGAAAAGAAGAAAGUCGUCACCCAAGGAGAAAAACCGCAAAAAAAACAAAAGAAAAACAGAAUUCAAGAGAGAGAUUAAAUGCUGCACCAGAGGAGAAAACACAGAGAUCCAUUGAAAAUCAGUCAUUCUUGUUAUUUUCUUGUUUUUAUUUAUUCAUGGGGAUGUAUUUAGUGGCCAAAAUUCUUUUAUUUAUUUUUCUUUCGCAAAUCAUGAAAUAAAUUUGAUUGUAGUUGAGUUAUAAAUGAUCUUAAUGGAUGUUUGACUGACAUAUUCGUGGUGCUUUGUAUUUGCUGCAGCAAUUUGUGUUAAUUGUAUUUAUUUUCUACAUCAUGUUGCUUUGCUGCUCAUUGCGGCGGUUGCUGUAAUUUAAAAUUGAAAUAAGGUUAUCAAUAGCAUUAAAUACCCACCACAUGAUUGAUGAUUUUCACCAUAAUUGGUAACCAAUAAUGAUUUUUGUAAUAGUAGUAUGGUACCCACUAGGGAUAGCAAUAAAAUUUGGAUCCAGCUUGCAUCCGCAAGGAUCCGAAAGAUCCGAAUCAGGAAAAAUUCGGAUCCGCAUGUUAAAAAAUGCGGAUCCAGAUGUAAGAAAUUAAAAUCUGUAUGGGUCCGGAUCCGGAUACAAGUGCAUCCGGAAAGCCGGAUAUCCAGAUCCGGUUAGUUUUUAUAUUAAAUUAAAAAAUAUAUAUUAACUUAACUUAAAAACAAAUUUAACCUAACUCUCACAUUCACACACACGCUCACAACACUUUACCAGCAGCCACAACCCACAAAUCCCUAACACCCAAAUCCCCCCCAAUUCCGUAGGAUGUUGCUAUUUGUCUCAUGGCCUCGCCUAAUCCUCGUGUCCAAGCCUCGAUCUGAGUCGGUUGCUGCCGCUGCACGCUGUUGUGCAAAUUUUAAUGUACUCGCAAGCGCACGAAUCUAUUGUAGUGUAGAUCAAUGGUGACGAGUGUCGAUCCCACGAGGAGGUGGAUUUUAAUUAUGUGUAGAAUUAAUUCUGUAAAUAGGUGGUUGGAAUUGUGGUGGAAGUGAUUUAAGUUAUCCUAAAAUUGGAAUUGAAAUUGCGAUAAUAAAUUCUAAAAUUGGAAUUGCAAUGGCGAGAAUAAGUUGAAGCGAAAUCUAUUGAAAUGACGUACUUGGGUAUCUGGAUCCGUAUCAACAUGCAUCAUGGGCUAAAUAAUUCGUAUUAAUGCCAAUUAAAUCAUGAGGGGGGAAUCCACACCUCAUGAACCACGCUCUAAUCAAUAUGGUGCUAAGGGCUUAUCGUGCCAAAUAAUAAUAACCUUAUACUAGAGAGCCGGUGUAACCAAGGCGGUAUCUAGACAAGAUCAGUAUUAUUUGUCGACGAUAAGUCAAAUCAUCCACAAAAACUAGAGGGGAAAAGAAAAUAAAUUUACCAAAUAAAGCCCAUGACACAUGUUGAGACUUCACCUUCAACCCAAGCUUGAAAAGAAAUUAGCUACUCAUAAUUGAACUAGGGGCAAAAUGGGAAUUUAUUAAAAUACAAAGAAAAUACAAGAUGGAGAGGGAAUUACAGAAAAUGGAUCCCAAAAAUGGAUUCAGAGAUAUCAAAUUAGGGGGGAGAGGCCCCCUUUUUAUAGAUACAUGGAGUAAAUCAUGGCCAUCGGAUUAAAAACAGUUUGGACGCUCAGGAUUGCGCCACGUCAUCAGUCAACAGUCCACGGUUUGACCACGCGGAUGAACAGUAACACGGUUUGACCCGGAUGAACAGUAACGCGGUUUGGUUGACAAUAAUCCUGUGUGAUGCAUGCACCGUACGCGAGAUUUUUCGUCCACUGAUAUGCUGCCACGUCACCAUCAACAGUACAUAAGAAUUUUAGUCCAACAGGAUCGUGACACCUCAUUAGUCAAUGCCACAUCAUCGGUCAAUGCCACGUCAUCGAUCAAUGCCACGUCAUCGAUCCGUCUAUGUGAACAGUGUCGUGAACAGUAACGUGAACAGUACCGUAUACGUGAAUAGUGCCAUUUUUCCUUUUAUGCUCCUCCUAAGGUUUUCGAUCGUCCUGAGUUCAAAAGUGAUGUCCGUUUUGCCGUCUGAUCUCUCCUUUAUUGUGAAAUGACUAUAAUGCCCCUAAAAUACAUAAAAUACUUAAUUAAAAUAACACACACGUAAUUACAUCACAAGAAGGUUAAAUACAUAAAAGUAAGGGUUGUUAGUAAGACUUGAAAUGUAAAAUGACGGUUUUCUCCUUUAUAAAUAUGCAUUUUCUAACACUCAACACACCCCCCAACCAGCUUAUUGCUAGUCCCUAGCAAAUAAAGCGAAAACAAAAUUCAAAUUCAAAAUGAUUUUUUUUUUUUUUUUUUUUAGAAACACUCGUGUUUAUUCAAUCAGAUUAAUGAUAGCAAUCAAAUAAAAGUAUAAGCAUUAUCUCCAGUCUAAAGCAAUAUCACACCCACAUCAACCAUCCACAUGAAUCGGCCCAGUAGACUUUGUUAUAGCUACUUUCAAGAAUGACAUGUCAAACCCCAAAAUCUCACUGGAAGUAGUGACACUCUCACAAAGAAAUUAAACCCAAAAAAUAGUCACUCCAAUGAAUGGUAAUUGAGAGAAAAUAAUGAAAAAGUGAUAUCACAUGCUCUCACCAAGAUGAAAUAAAUAUGCCAUCAGCUUAGAAAUAAUACAAUCUCAAGUCAAAUAAAAAAAUGUUAGUCAACCCACUUUAUUUAUCUUUUUUUUUUUUUUUAUAUAUUAUGCAUCACUACAUCUUUUUAGCCCAUAUAACUAGCUUCUACUUCAAACUAUAGUUCCCGAAAAUCAAGAAGGACUUUUAUUAGAACGUAACGUAGGCUAGGGAUAUGGCUAACAAAGAAAGGAAAUAAGGAAAACAAAGUGUAUGUUUGAGAAAAAUGCAGAAUUUUUUUUUUUUUUUUUUUUUUUUUUUUUGGAACUUGCAAGGUGGAUUUCACCUAUUAUUGUUAUUUUUAUUCUUUUGAAACAACAACUUUUGUUUUUUUUUUUUCUUUUUGCUUUUAUUUGGCAUAACUUCACUGAACAACAUAAUUAUUUACAUUUUCUCAAACAUAAAUAGGUGAUGGAACUUAAAAGACAUUGGGUAAUACUCAAAAUCGGAGUGGGUCAAGAUGAUAAGUUGACAAAGAAAAGGUUUUUUUUUUUUUUUUUUUUUUUUUUUUUUUUUUUUUAAAGGCUCAAAAGGGGUAACUAUGGAUAUUUAAUAAAAGGGAUGGCUAGAAAGGCUCAAACGGAUCAAAGAUGGCCUUUCCAUCGUCUUUUAGGGCUCUAAAUAAUUAUCCAUAUCUACUAGUUAGAUGGGCCUCCCAAUGUAGCAACACACAUUUUUUUCUUUUUUCUUUUUUUUUUCUUUUUUCUUUUUUUAAUUUUACCAUAUUUUUUUUUAAAGGGUUAACUUAAAAGAAAUCUAGAGAUCGUGUAUAAAAUAAUAAACUGCUAAGCUGUAUAGAGAAUGGGCAAAAGGGUUACUCUCCAAGAAAAUGAUAGGCCCAACAACUCACUUGGCACUUAUUUAUGACAUGUUCAUUCCUUCAAGCAACUCAUAUUUGUCUCCGACAUCAACAUGUAAAGUAGCAAACAUAGCGUAACAUCACUUAAGACCAAAGAUAAUACAAAUACUAAAAUUUGAAAUUAAUCAUGUCAUCCAAUGUUAAAACAAAUAACACAAAUUUUUUUUUUUUUUUUAAACAACAUUCUACCCCCCAACCUAUUCUAAACAUGAAAGGAAAAUAUGCAUGCAGAAAUGUGAAAAUGAUGUAGAAAAAUUAAUUAGAAAAAGAAUUAUUUUUUUUUUUAAAACUAAAAAGAUGCGUUUCUAGAGGCACUACACUCCAUAUUCAGCCAUCUUCGACUCAAAAUUUGAAACUACAUAUUUAUAAAGGAGAAAGAGGAAGAAAACAUGUUUUUUUUUUUUUUUUUUUUUUUUUUAAACGAUGAAGAUGCGUUUCUAGAGUAACUACACUCCAUAUUCAGCCAUCUUCAACAUAAAAUGUUAGCAACAGUUAGUUUCUACAACAAAAAAUUAGUAAAAACUUAACCAAGAUUCCACAAUUGUCGACUAUUCCCUCCCCCCAACCAGAACGAAACAUUGUCCUCAAUGUUUUAAAGGAAAGAAGUAGAGUUUAGAAGACAUCACCUGGGUGGUGCAACACAGAAGAAAAUAUUUACAGGCGGAGAGUUAAAUCUAAUUUGUACUUCUUACUGCGGCUACUGUUACCAUCAUUAUUUGGUCGCUCCAACACAAAGGUCCAGGGGUCUGGCUCCGGUUUAUAAGCUUGUAACAUAUCAAGUAGCUCAUUAGCAGUGUGAGCACAAAUGAAGAGUUUUUUCACAUUAGAAGGAAUGAAAUAGUUUUUUAUUGCAUGGUUAAGAAAUGCGAUAAAGCCAUCAUAAAAGUUAUUGACAUUUAACAAACCGAUGGGUUUCUGGUGGAUGUGCAGAUGGGCCCAAGAUGCUAGUGUCAUAAGUGCCUCUAGUGUUGCAAGAUCUCCUGGAAGGAAAAUAAAAGCAUCAGCAUGAUUAAGCAUUUCAGUUAUUCUUUCUUGCAUACCUGAGACGACUAACUCUUCUCCAGUUGAUGAGUCAGACGAACCGCCCAAUGGUUUUAGGACUCUUGGGAUGAUGCCUAACACUUGACUUCCUCUGAUAAAAGCUGCUUCUGAGACCAUUUUUGAUAACCCUCGGUUACCUCCUCCAUACACCAAGUGUAAUUUUCUCUCUGCUAUGCUUCGACCAAGAUCUAUGGCUGCCUCAACGAACUCUUUAUGUUUGCCAUAGGUAAAUCCAGAAAGCACACAAAUGUUCUUGAAUUGUCUAUUUGGAGUAGCUGUCAUUGUGAUACUUCUCAAAAAAAAUAAUUUGUGAGUGCUUGACAAAAGAUAUCACAUUUAAGAGUCUUGGUGAUAGUGGGUCAUGGUUGUGUAUGAGGUAAUGUGUCAGUGUCAAAUAACGCGUAAAGCACGUGGCUCGCAAGUCAAAAAGAAAACAGUAAAAAAAGGAAAAAGCCAACAGUAAUAAAAUUAUUAAAGACAAUAAUGCAAAAAUAAGACAAUAGUGAAAUAAAAUAACAAUAAAGUAAAAGGAUAUUUACAGGUAGUUGCGACUGUGGCUCACAUCUUCCUCUGGUUUUACGUCCAGAAACGGCUUGAACGCCCUCUAUGGGUCGAGGAUCGGCUUCCCAUCCAGUUUUCUUAUAAACUGACAAACAGGGUCGUUUAUAGUCAGAUUCCCGAGACUAUAUCGUGUAUGCUCUUUCUGGAAUAAUGGCCACAACUGGAGAAUCGCUCCUUGCACAUAUCCACUGGGAUGCGUUUCAAGAGACAAAAGAAUAUCAUCCAAUGACUCCUUAUUCAAGCCAUCCCUAAUGAAUUGAAUCUUAUCUUCCCUGUUAUCAGACACCAUUCCUAAAGAACAUAGGUUUCUAUCGCAACUCAUUCUGGCACACUUAUGACAAGCAACAGAAAUUCUUCGAGCUCGUCGUUUUCUUGCAUAAUUUCCUUUACCACAACCAGGCAUGAAUGCAAUAAAUUUUGGAGGUAACUCACCUGCCGAUCGUACUUUAGCCUCGAUUAACCAACGGAUGUCAGCAGGUAUGUUAUUCUUCAUGAGCAAUCGCAUGCGUUCGGACCGGGCUUUAUAGAUUGUAAGGAGGGCAUUCUGAGGAAGUGAAGGGAAUCGCUUGUGAAGCUUUGCUAAAAUCUCGUUUCUAUCCAUACCUUCGCCUCAGAAUAUCAGUUAUUAUGGGAAACUGAAGUUAACCGACUUGAUUGUCACGGAGUACCGUUAUCCGCCACUUCACCGGGGUAACAAACUAAAGCACACAAACAGAAAAACAAAUUAAAACACACAAAGAAAAUUAAAAUCGUCCUCUUAUUGAAUUUACCUCAAGCUCCAACUGGAUGUCGUAAACACUUCUCUCAAUGUCUCUGAGUUGGCGUUCUAAACCCUCAACAUAGGCUACUAACUCUGGUGGUUGUAGAGCCCAAAUGCGUUGUGUUUUACAAAAUAGAAUCUGCCUUUUGAGAUGAGUUUUGACACGUUGAAGUGGUUUAAGAAUGUUCAGGAGGAACGGUCUAAGUAUGAGACUCAUGAUUAAAAAUGAUAAGAGAAAACUUAAUUGUUAAACAAACACACUUAUGCAAAAAUAAUUUCAAAUAGCAAAAGAAUAAUAAAAAGAAAGAAAGAAAAAUCAAAUCAAUAAAAAGAGAAAAAAAAAAUUAAUUCAAAUCUGGUGGGUCACUCAAAUUUAUUUCGGUGUCUUCUUCAUGUGGUUGGUACUCUAGAUAUGGCUUUAAUCUUUGACCAUUAACUUUAAACGUGACACCGUUCUUUGGGUCUUUAAUUUCAAUUGCCCCAUGUGGAAAAACAGUAUGAACAAUAAAGGGACCAGACCAUCGAGAGCGUAACUUACCUGGGAAUAAGUGCAAGCGAGAAUUGAAUAAAAGUACUUUCUGACCUGGAGUGAAAGAUUUUCUCAUAACGUGCUUGUCGUGGAAGACUUUCAUCCGCUGCUUGUAAAUUUUGGCAUUUUCAUAUGCAUCAUUGCGAAUUUCUUCAAGUUCUGCCAGUUGUAAUCUUCUCUCUGAGCUGGCUUGCUGCAUGUCAAAGUUGAAUUUCUUGAUGGCCCAAUAUGCACGAUGCUCGAGUUCCACAGGUAGGUGGCAAGCUUUUCCAUACACUAGCCUGUAGGGUGACAUCCCAAUCGGGGUCUUGAAAGCCGUUCUAUAUGCCCAUAAUGCAUCAUCAAGUCGUAAUGACCAAUCUUUCCUGUCUGGCCUCACCGUUUUUUCUAAUAUGUGCUUGAUUUCUCGAUUGGAGAUCUCAACUUGGCCACUGGUUUGCGGAUGAUACGGGGUCGCCACUUUGUGUGUGAUUGAAUACUUUGUCAAAAGAGCUUUGAAUGCUUUGUUACAAAAGUGGGCACCACCAUCACUGAUUAUCGCUCGAGGGAAUCCAAAGCGUGAAACAAUAUUGCUUUUCAAAAAUCCUAUCACCACCUUGUGAUCAUUGGUUCUACAUGGAAUUGCUUCUACCCAUUUUGAGACGUAGUCAACAGCAACCAAUAUGAAUUGAUGGCCAAAAGAAGGGGGAAAGGGUCCCAUGAAGUCGAUACCCCAUACGUCAAAAAUCUCAACCACUAAAAUUGGAUUUAGUGGCAUCAUGUUCCUUCGUGUAAUGCUCCCCAUUCGUUGACACCUAUCACAUGAAGAACAGAAAGUGUAAGCGUCUCGAAAUAUAGUUGGCCAAUAGAAACCACAUUGUAAAACUUUAGUCGCUGUUUUCUUAGCACUGAAAUGGCCUCCACAAGCUUGUUCAUGGCAGAAUGAAAGAAUAUUCUGAAUUUCAUUUUCAGGGACACAUCGUCUAACAAUUUGGUCUGCACAAUACUUGAACAAAUAUGGGUCAUCCCAAAAGAAAUUCUUUAUUUCCGCAAAGAAUUUAGCCUUGUCUUGCUUGGUCCAAUGCUCUGGAAGUUUACCUGUAACAAGAUAAUUAACUAUAUCAGCAUACCAAGGUAAUACUUCCACAUGCAUCAAUUGUUCAUCUGGGAAUGACUCAUUUAAUAUUAAUGGCUCUGUAAUUGUGUCAAAAUGGAGACGAGAGAGGUGGUCCGCCACAACAUUUUCUGUGCCUUUCUUAUCCUUGAAUUCCAAGUCGAAUUCCUGCAAAAGUAACACCCAACGAAUUAGUCUAGCUUUUGCAUCUUUCUUUGUGAGAAGAUAUUUAAGAGCAGCAUGAUCUGUGAAUAUAAUUAUUUUACAACCAAUGAGAUAAGAUCGAAAUUUUUCCAAUGCAAACACUACUGCUAGCAUUUCUUUUUCAGUAGUUGAAUAGUUCAACUGUGCAUCAUUUAAUGUCAUACUAGCAUAGUAAAUAACAUGGGGAAUUCGAUCAACUCUUUGUCCUAAUACUGCUCCUACGGCAUAAUCAGAUGCAUCACACAUGAGCUCAAAUGGUAAGCUCCAGUUUGGGGCCUGAAUGAUGGGUGAUGAUGUCAACAACUGCUUUAAUUUUUCAAACGCCAUGAGACAUGAAUCAUUAAAGAUAAAAGGUACAUCCUUAGCAAGUAAAUUGCAUAAGGGUCUAGAAACUUUGCUAAAAUCUUUAAUGAAACAUCUAUAAAAACCAGCAUGUCCAAGGAAAGAUCUUACUUCUCUGACUGUUUUAGGUGGAGGAAGAUUAGAAAUGAGAUCCACCUUGGCUUUGUCAACCUCAAUACCUUUGCUCGAAAUGAUAUGACCGAGAACAAUACCUUGUUUUACCAUAAAAUGACACUUCUCCCAAUUCAAGACUAAGUUCUUCUCGGUACAUCUCUGCAGAACUAGCGUUAGAUGAUGUAAACAUUGAUCAAACGAGUCACCAAAGACAGAAAAGUCAUCCAUAAAGACUUCAAGGAAUCGUUCAACCAUAUCAGAAAAAAUGCUCAACAUGCAUCGUUGAAAUGUAGCAGGUGCAUUACAUAAUCCAAAUGGCAUUCUCCUAUAUGCAAAUGUGCCAAAAGGGCAAGUGAAAGUGGUCUUCUCUUGAUCUUUUGGUGCUAUGGGAAUCUGAUUAUAUCCUGAGUAGCCAUCUAGAAAGCAAUAAAAUUCGUGGCCUGCUAAUCUAUCAAGCAUUUGAUCGAUAAAUGGUAAAGGAAAAUGGUCUUUACGUGUGACAGAAUUCAACUUUCUAUAAUCAAUGCAUACACGCCAUCCUGUAGUUACUCUAGUUGGUAUCAAUUCAUUAUCAGCAUUGGUAACUACUGUGACUCCUGACUUUUUGGGGACAACUUGUACAGGACUGACUCAUGAACUAUCAGAAAUUGGGUAAAUAAUACCUGCGUCUAAUAGCUUAAGGACUUCUGUUCUAACAACUUCUUUCAUAUUAGGAUUUAACCGACGUUGCAUUUCCCUAGUAGUUUUAGCAUUUUCAUCAAGGUGAAUGUAAUGCAUGCAGUCUACUGGGUUUAUACCUUUAAUAUCUGCUAUGGUCCAUCCUAAUGCUCCUUUGUGCUCUUUUAAAACAUCCAACAACUUACCUUUUUGUUCGUCGUUUAGGGAUGAUGAGAUGAUUACCGGUAGAGUGCUUUCUUCUCCCAAAAACGCAUAUUCCAAUGUGUUGGGUAAUGGUUUGAGCUCGAGUUUCGGUGGUGAUUCUGAUGAUGGAAUGAGUUUCUUCUCUGAUGGUGCUAGUUGUUCAACUCUUGACUUCCAUUUAUUAGUGUCCAUGGAUGGUGCUGAGUCAAGUAGGGCGUUGACCUCUUCGACCGAUCUGUCAAUAUCAAAAUCCAAACCAAAGUGAGUUAAACAUGUUUGUAAAGGAUCAUCACUAAGGUUUGAAAGAAAAGUAUUAUCAACUAUUGUUUCUAUUAAAUCCACAUCAACAAUUCCAUCAUCUGCACUGUGAGGUUGUUUGGCAAUGUUGAAGAUGUUUAGCUCCAUAGUCAUGUUGCCAAAGGACAACUGCAUAUUUCCAGUCCUGCAUUGAAUGUGAGCAUCCGCAGUUGCCAAGAAAGGUCGGCCUAGAAUAAUGGGGAUGUGCUUCCUUGAGUCCUGUAUUGGUUGAGUGUCAAUUACAAUGAAAUCAACAGGAAAAUAAAACUUGUCUACCUGGAUAAGCACGUCCUCCACAAUACCACGAGGUAUUUUUGUGGACCGAUCUGCAAGUUGUAACACCACUAGAGUUGGGUGUAAUUCUCCCAGUCCAAGUUUCACGAAUACAGAGUAAGGCAACAAAUUUACACUAGCUCCUAAAUCCAACAAAGCAUUCUCAAUUGUGUGGUUCCCUAUACUACAUGAGAUAGUGGGGGAGCCUGGGUCUUUGCAUUUUAAAGGAAUUUUAUGUUGGAGUAUAGAACUAACGUUUUCUGUUAAAAAUGCCUUCUUUUGAACAUGCAUAUUUCUCUUUUUAGUACAAAGGUCUUUAAGAAACUUGGCAUAAGAUGGAACUUGUUUAAUAGCAUCAAGUAAAGGGAUGUUAACACUUACCUGUUUGAAGAUUUCGAGAAUCUCACCUGUGGAUUUUCCCUUCUUUCCUUUCACUAACCUCUGAGGAAAUGGAGCUUUGGGAACGUAUUCUCGUAGGUUGGUUUCUUCUUUUUCCUCCGGUGGUGAGUCCUCAGCAUUUACAGGUACAAUUUGAUUUUCUUUUGUCACCGGCAUCUCCACUUUGUUGUCGACUUCCUUUCCUUUUCGCAAGGUCAUGACUGCUUUGACCUCUCCAUACUGUUGUGGUGAACUGGUACUUGCUUCAUGCACUCCUUUAGGAUUAGGCACUGGUUGACUUGGAAACUUGCCUUUCUCAACAGUCAUUGCCAAGGUCUGAACUGAAGAAGCAAGUUGUCCCACCAUCUUCUCGAGGCUUGAAACUGAUUGAGCUUGUGAGUUAAAGCCUGCUCUCAACUCAUUUCGUAGUCCAUCAAUGGUGCGGUUCUGUUGCUCAAUCGUAGAGUGAGUAGCAUUCUUGAAAUUCUGGAAUGAAUCCUCCCAUGGUCUGGGUUGAGAGUAGUUUUGGUUUUGAUUGAAUGGUCUAAAUGGGGGCUGAGAGGCUUGAGGAUUUUGAGGAAUUGGUUGCAUUGGUGGAGCUGGAGCUGCUGGUCCAUUCUGUUGGAAUCCUUGGGACCAUGAAAAAUUGGGGUGGUCUCUCCAUCCAGGAUUAUAUGUGUUGGAGUAUGGGUUGUAAUUUGAUGGCUUUCUCAUUACACCUAUGGCAUUGGCUUGAUCUGGGUAUGAGUCAUGGUCAUGUGGUUCUGUUGAUUUAGCAGUCGAUAACGAUGCUAUUUGUCGAGCAAGACCUUCAACCAUCUCCUUGACUUCUUUGAUUCCCGAAGUUGACUCGCCAAUUUGAACCUCAUUUACUCCCUUAAUUCUUCUAGUAUUCCUGAGUGAUCGACUCCGUUGUUGGGAAUUAUCCGCUUGUCGCUGGAAGAAUUCCCAAAUCUCUGUUGCGCUUUUUGACAUUAGCUCUCCUCCACUUGUUGCCAUUAGCCAUUCUUGCACAUUUGGUAGUAAUCCCUCCAAAAAGUAUUGGCAUUGGUGCCAUUUCUCGUACCCAUGAUGUGGACACUUCAAGAGUAGCCCAUUGAAUCGCUCCCACGUUUCGAAAAACUGCUCGUCCUCUCUUUGUGUAAACUCUGAAAUUUCCCUGCGAAUAGAAUUGGUUUUAUGCACUGGGAAAUAUUUAUUUAGAAAUUUUGUAACCAUUUGUUCCCAUGAUGCAAUGCUAUUAGCAGGCAAAGUAUUUAACCAUGAACGAGCUCUAUCCUUUAAAGAAAAUGGGAAUAAUCUGAGUUUAACAUCAUCGUCUGAAAAAUUUUCAUAUUUAAAAGUUUGACAAAUGGUAUGAAAAUCAUUCAGAUGAUUAUAUGGGUCCUCAUUUUCUAAGCCAUAGAAUGUGGGGAGACAAUUUAGCACACUAGGUUUUAGUUCAAAGCUCCUAGCAGCUACAUUUGGGUAUCUUAUGCAUGAUGUGCUCAAAUUAGCUAAGGGACUAAAAUAGUCCUUAAAUGGCCUCUCCUGUGGUGCUUGUAAAUCCAUUUCAAAUUUAUUUUUAUCGUUCUUGUGUGUGCGAAGUGUUUUUUCUAAUUCAAGGUCUAUAGGUUCAAGAUUAGGUAAUAAUGACCUACGACCAUGCAUGCAAAAUAAAAUAAAAAUAAAAAUAAAGAUGCAAACAAAACAAAAAAUAAAGAUGGGAACAAAACAAAUAAAAAUAAAGAAGAGGGAGAAAUUAUGAUACUAACCUUAUUGCGCUAUUACAACCUUUCUAUAAAAAUACACAAAAACAAAUACGUGAAAUAAAUUAACUAAAAAUUAAAUUAAUAAAAUAAACAAAAAUUACAAAGAAAAAAUAAAUUGAAAAUUAAAUUACAGAAUUUUAAAGAAGAGAAAAAGAAAAGAAAUACUAACCUUUAAAUGUAGAUUUACUCUUUUUUUUUUCUUUUUUUUUUUUCAAUAAGAAAAAAAAAUACAAGAAAACAAAUAAAAGAAAUUAUUCACAAAAAUUAAUUCUAUGAAUUAAAAUUACUUACCUCCCCGGCAACGGCGCCAAAAACUUGUUGUGCAAAUUUUAAUGUACUCGCAAGCGCACGAAUCUAUUGUAGUGUAGAUCAAUGGUGACGAGUGUCGAUCCCAGGAGGAGGUGGAUUUUAAUUAUGUGUAGAAUUAAUUCUGUAAAUAGGUGGUUGGAAUUGUGGUGGAAGUGAUUUAAGUUAUCCUAAAAUUGGAAUUGAAAUUGCGAUAAUAAAUUCUAAAAUUGGAAUUGCAAUGGCGAGAAUAAGUUGAAGCGAAAUCUAUUGAAAUGACGUACUUGGGUAUCUGGAUCCGUAUCAACAUGCAUCAUGGGCUAAAUAAUUCGUAUUAAUGCCAAUUAAAUCAUGAGGGGGGAAUCCACACCUCAUGAACCACGCUCUAAUCAAUAUGGUGCUAAGGGCUUAUCGUGCCAAAUAAUAAUAACCUUAUACUAGAGAGCCGGUGUAACCAAGGCGGUAUCUAGACAAGAUCAGUAUUAUUUGUCGACGAUAAGUCAAAUCAUCCACAAAAACUAGAGGGGAAAAGAAAAUAAAUUUACCAAAUAAAGCCCAUGACACAUGUUGAGACUUCACCUUCAACCCAAGCUUGAAAAGAAAUUAGCUACUCAUAAUUGAACUAGGGGCAAAAUGGGAAUUUAUUAAAAUACAAAGAAAAUACAAGAUGGAGAGGGAAUUACAGAAAAUGGAUCCCAAAAAUGGAUUCAGAGAUAUCAAAUUAGGGGGGAGAGGCCCCCUUUUUAUAGAUACAUGGAGUAAAUCAUGGCCAUCGGAUUAAAAACAGUUUGGACGCUCAGGAUUGCGCCACGUCAUCAGUCAACAGUCCACGGUUUGACCACGCGGAUGAACAGUAACACGGUUUGACCCGGAUGAACAGUAACGCGGUUUGGUUGACAAUAAUCCUGUGUGAUGCAUGCACCGUACGCGAGAUUUUUCGUCCACUGAUAUGCUGCCACGUCACCAUCAACAGUACAUAAGAAUUUUAGUCCAACAGGAUCGUGACACCUCAUUAGUCAAUGCCACAUCAUCGGUCAAUGCCACGUCAUCGAUCAAUGCCACGUCAUCGAUCCGUCUAUGUGAACAGUGUCGUGAACAGUAACGUGAACAGUACCGUAUACGUGAAUAGUGCCAUUUUUCCUUUUAUGCUCCUCCUAAGGUUUUCGACCGUCCUGAGUUCAAAAGUGAUGUCCGUUUUGCCGUCUGAUCUCUCCUUUAUUGUGAAAUGACUAUAAUGCCCCUAAAAUACAUAAAAUACUUAAUUAAAAUAACACACACGUAAUUACAUCACAAGAAGGUUAAAUACAUAAAAGUAAGGGUUGUUAGUAAGACUUGAAAUGUAAAAUGACGGUUUUCUCCUUUAUAAAUAUGUAUUUUCUAACACUCAACACACGCCUCGAUCUGAGUUAGUUGCUGCCACACCUCGCCUCGCCGCCGUCGAAUCCUUGCAAUCGAAGAAGCCUCGUUUGAGCACUUUAAUUAAAAUGGUCUUGGCAAGCCUUGUUGAAUCCUUUGGCCUUUGUUGAUUCAAUUUAGUUUAAUUUUGAAUAAAUUUCUUUGCUGAUUCGUUUCAUCCCUUUAAUUAAAUGCAUUAAUUUUCAAUAUAAUGUAAAUAUUUAAUAGGUUUUGGGAUUAGGUUUUAAUUUGAAAAAUUGUUGAAUUUUUAAAUUAUAUUUUAAAUUUUUGCGGAUCCAGAUAUUCGGGAUAUCCGCCCGCAAUACGAACGGAUAUUACUCACAUCCGUAUCCGUAAAAAAUUUACAGAUGCAUAUCUGAAUCCGAAUAUAAAAAUAUCAAUCUAAAUCCAAAUUUUACCACCCCUAAUUCUCACUUCCCAUGCAAUAAUACAUUGGCGAUUGAUGCUAUAAAGUAUGGGGGUAUGAAACCCAUCCAAUUCAUUCAUUCACGUGUCCUGCAUUUAUUAUCUCCACCUCACCUUCUUCAACAUUUAUUGCCACCAUCAAAUUCCACAAUGUUCGCCCUUGAAAGUUUUUACUUUUUAUUAUUCGUGUUAAAGAGGUUGAUCUGCUUGGGCCUCUUGGCCCUAGCUAACUAUUCCUACGAUACAAUAUUUCUUUGGAUAUGAACAUAUAUGUCUUGCCGAGAGUAUACAUAAAGCUUAUAUUUAUUUUUACUAUCGUUCAAUAAAAUCAUGCUAUUUAUACAAUCAUCAAAAAAACAAUAUGUAAUUUUUUUAGGAGAAAUUUUUAUUGAAGUAAUUUUGGGACAAGAACGUUUCGGUUCAGUAGUUUCCAAUGUUAUUUUUCAAGUACGGAUGUAACUCAUCCAAUUACAUCAAAUAGGUCCAUAAUUCCUCCCAAGUUUUGUUUUGUUCUUCUUCUUUUAAUAUCACAUUACCACAAUCUCUUAAUCAAUUCUAUAAUGGCAAAAUUUAAAUAUUUAGUUUGGAUUUAAAAUAAAUGGAACCUAUUUUUGAAUGAUUAAAAGAAAAUUAACCUCACAAAUACACAUAAGUAAACUCAAACUUUGUGGAAAGAGAAUUGAUUUACUAUUAGGUUAUUGGAUGGUUCUCUUAACCCUUAAUUUUUUAAGAAAAAAAAAGGAAAUGAAGGCCCUAACCCCAUUUGAGAAGUAUCUAAAUGCUCUUUAUUCUGUAAUAGUUUUGGCAUAGUCUUACAUUCUCAAUAUUCAUUCAAAUGGAGAAGUUAGUGGACUAAUUUGAAAAAAAAAAUUAAAGAUCUAAUGUUAUUAACCGUUUUCUAAUCUUCUAUUAAGAAAUUUUUUGCUGGAAUAUGGAAACCUAUAAGCAAUUGGGAAUGUAUUGACCGCAAUUUGCAAAACUCGUUGACUCUGGGAUGAUCUCUCCACGUACGCGUGAGUGCGUGUCGGUAUAAAUAUGAAGGACUUAUCACAUAGCCCACAUGGACGACCCACCCCCGACAAUCAGGUUACAUGCCUCUUUCGUCAUAAAAGAUUGUCAAUUCUUCAUUAAGACUAUUUUUUUUUCUUUUAACACCUAUAAAAGUAUUUAAACAUAUCUAGCUAAUUUUUAUGUUGACACAUUUAUUAACAACAUUGUUAGUACCAAAAUUGACAUUAGCUAAAUAAGACUAUUUUUUUUCCAAACAUCCUUAAAAAUACUUAUAAAACAUUUAGGCUUUAGCUAAUUCCUAUGUUGACACAUUUAUUAAUCUACAAAAAUGCCUUCAUUUAGAGUAGUUGAGAAAACUAUUAUGAUUUUUUGUUUUAGUUUUCUAAAUCAAAUCCAUUUUUCUCCAGUUUUGUUUUCUCUAGUAGCCAUUUGCCCAUACUUAUGUUUUGGCCCCACCCCCCUCCCCCCGGCCGCGGAAAAAAAAGCCAACAACACAAUUCUUCUAACGAUCGAUUGAAUUUUUUUUUAUUUUGCCCCUUAAUUUCCUUUUUUUUUUUUUAAUUGCACCAUGCUAUUUUCUUGCACUGAUAUUGUUGCUUCUUUUUUAUAUUCAUUUUCUUUUAUUUCUACUUUAACUGCAAAACUACUUUUUUUUGGCGAAUAAUUAAUUUGUUCAAUUUUUUUCUAUUGUAAGGAAAAAUGUGGCAAGUGAAAUAAUGAGAGCAUGAAAGGAUGUGAGCAUGAGAACAUUUAAGCAUGUGAGCAUGUAAGCAUGAGGGCACGUGAGCAUGUGAGCAUAUGAGUAUGAGAGUAUGUGAGCAUGAGAUAAUGAGAGCAUCAAGCAUGUAAGCAUGACAACAGAUGAGCAUGCGAGCAUGUGAGCAUGCUCGCAUGAGAGCAUGCUAGUUCAGUAGAAAAUUUAAUAAGUCAAUUAAACAUAGCUAUAUACAAGCAUGAGAUAAUGAAAACAUGUUAGCAUGAGAGCAUGCAAGCUCAGUAGGAAACUAAUAAAUCAAUUAAGCAUGUUACAUGAAAGCAUGAGACCAUGAGAGCACAUGACCAUGAGAGCAUGUGAGCAUGAAAGCAUGUGACCAUGGGACCAUGAGAGCACGCGAGCAUGUACCGGAGCAUGAGAGCAUACAAGCUCAGUAGAAAACUUAAUAAGUCAAUUAAGCACAACUACACUCAGUAGGAAGUUUAAUAAGUCAAUUAAACACAACUACACUUAGUAAGAAACUUAAUAAGUCAAUUAAACACAGUUACAUAAGAGCAUACAAGCUCAAUAAGAAGCUUAAUAAGUUAAUUAAGCUCAGUUAAAUGAGAGCAUAAAGUCAAAUGAGCACAACUGUUAGAGAGCAUGAUUGCAACAUAGCAUUGUGAUAACACUUAAUAAGUCAAAAAAGUAUGAUUGCGGGAGAUUGUUGUUGUAGGCGAGCAUAAUAGCACAAAAGCGCUACCAUGGGAGAUGAGUUUAACUAAAAAAGCCCAGCUGCUGAAUCUAAUAACUAGGCAACAAUAGUUGGAAACAUUAUCAAAGCCUAGUAAAAGAAAUUAGAAGCUCUUGAAGCACAAAGCGAGAUAAAAAAGGAGAUUAAAUGUUGGAGAUAAACAUUGAUAAAAGAUAAAACUCAAUCUAAGAAGGAGAUAAAUAUUGAUAUUAGAUAAAAGUCUAAGUGAUAAAGAUGAUCAACACGAGGAAUUAUCGAGGAAUCGGGAUAUAAAUUUUAUUAUAAAUAGAGAAUCCCUGAUGGAUAGAGGUAUAAGAGUAAAUAGUUAGACCCAAAAAAGAAAAAGAGCUUCAUUGUAAUUCUUAUUUAAUAGUGAACAUUACUCUUUCUAUACCCAUGGAUAUAGCUAAGUGUUAAAUCACGUAAAUUCUUUAUUUUAUUUUUUCUUAUAUCAUCACAUUAUUCUCUAGUUGAUUAGAAAUUAGCGUCAACAUUUAAAAAAAAAAAUGCAAUGCCCUUAAUUGUAAAUCACAUUUGGGUAUUUUGUAAUUAAAAUUUUGAUAAAAUAUUAGUUUGCAGAGUAUUUUGUAGGGUGCAAUUACUCUCAUCCAAUUUUUUAAUUAUCUAAUUAUUUACUAAUUUGAAAUAGUCCAGAUUUAUUGAAAUGUUUUAUUAUUUAUAAUUUCAGUACACAACAAGGGCUGCAAUGUUAAUAACCAAUUUCACGCAUCCACCUACUAAAACUACUGUUCCAUAAAAUCUAAUGGUGACAACAUAAACACCAAAAAAAAAUAAAAUUGGGGGUAUUAUACAACAAUUGUAGGGUAAUCAGACCGGUUUAAUAGUCAUAAAUACUUAUGUAAUUCCACAAGCUCUUUUUAAAUUUUUCGCUAAUUUAAUUAUUUUUUAGUAGAGCUUUUGAAUAUUAAAUAAGCUAUAUUGCGCUUAAAUUUUAGGUUUUUGAGAAUAGAUGUUAAAUUUUAUUUUUAAAUUAUAUGUCAUAUAGUUCAGCCUCUUUUUUAAAAUGUUAAAAUACCUAAAAUGUCAUUUACUUAUUUGUCAAACAUAUUUCAUUCCUUUCAUAACAUAUUUUUAAAAAAGCUUACCAAUUAAAAUAAUUUUAUGAUUAAUACUACCGAUCGUAAUAUGUUUCUAAUUGAUAAUUUUACCCUUUAUAUCCAAUGAAAUUGUUGUUUUGGUUUUACUCUACCCCAAUUACAUCUACAUGAUGUUUGCGAUCAAUUAACAGUUAACUAAUCAUUAUAAUUAAAUUUAUAAUUAUUUAGUAGUAAAGUGUUAUAGUACAGUCAUUAGUGCACUUAGGGUGCGUUUGGUAUACGUAUUGUAUUAUGUUGUAUUGCAUUAUUUUAAUGCUGGUGUAUUGUAUUAUGCUGUAUUGCAUUAGCAUUGUAUUAUAAUAAUACUGUACAAUGUUUGGUACUACACUGUACUGUAAUAAUUUUUUAUUAAUUUAAAUUAAAUUAAAUAUUAUAUUAAUAUAUUUAAAUUGUAUUAAUAUUUUAUAUUAUUAUUUAUAUUAUUAUUAAUUUUAAAUUAAUAUUAUUCAUAUUUAAAUAUUUAUUAUUAGUCAUAAUAAAUUGUAAAUUUAUUAAUAAAUUAAAAUGUAAAAAUAAAAAAUAGAAUAUAAUAUUAUUGAACAAUAAAUCAUUUAUUUAUAUUAAUAAUUAUAAUGUAAAAAAUAAAAAAUAUUAAAUAAUAUAAUAUUAAAUUAAAAAAUAAUAUUUAUUAUUAUUAUUAUUAUUAUUAUUAUUAUUAUUAUAAUAAAAUUAAAGUAAAAGCAAAAGUUAGCAAAAGCUGGAAAGUUGGAAACGAAAAGGAAAAAAAAAAGGAAAGAGCAAACGAAAAGGAAACAAAUAUUAAAUAAUAUAAUAUUAAAUUAAAAAAUAAUAUUUAUUAUUAUUAUUAUUAUUAUAAAAUUAAAGUAAAAGCAAAAGUUAGCAAAAGUUGGAAAGUUGGAAACGAAAAGGAAAAAAUAAAAAAAGGAAAGAGCAAGCGGCAGUUUGCCGCAUUAGAUUGGCCCAUUAUGCAGUGUUUCUGUAGCUUUUAACUUACCAAAUAUGGGCUUGUAUAAAGCUAAUGCAAUGAGGAGUUAUAAUACAGCAACCAAACAUGCCCUUAAGCAGUAAAAAGAUAACCUAAUCAGUAAAAAGAUAAUAACUCAAAUAAAAAUAUUUGAACACAAUUAAGAUAUAUAUAUUUGGGGAUAAUUAAUUGAUGAGGGAAAAUGCUUGCAGGAGGGGCAAGUGGAGUUGGUUUGGAGACAGCAAGGGUCUUGGCUCUACGUAAAGCUCAUGUUAUUAUUGCUGCAAGAAACAUGGCAGCUGCAAAUGUAUUCUAAAAGAAGAUGACACUGCUCGUGUUGAUAUUCUGAAACUUGAUCUUUCCUCUAUUGCUUCUAUUAAAGAUUUUGCUCAAAACUUCAUUGCUCUUAAUCUUCCCCUUAACAUCUUAAUGUAAUUUUACUCUCCCCUCUUUCUCGAAAUAUUACAUAACUAUCUACUGAUGUUUCCGAGAAACAAUAAAAGCAUACUAUAACAUGCAAAAAUUAAUUUAAUGCAGAAACAAUGCUGGAAUCAUGUUCUGUCCCUACCAGAUUUCUGAAGAUGGAAUAGAGAUGCAAUUUGCAACAAAUCAUAUUGGUGAUUACUUUAAUUUGAUGCUGUAUUGGCUGUUAUUAAUUGACUAGCUAAAUUAGUAUUCAACUUUAAAUAUUACUUUUGCAGGGCAUUUUCUUUUAACAAAUUUGUUUCCGGACACAAUGAAGCGCACGGCCAAAGAAACGGGUAUUGAGGGGAGGAUAGUGAAUCUACCAUCAAUAGCCCACCAAUACACAUACAAAGGUGGCAUUCGGUUUCAGAAGAUCAAUGACAAAGCAAGGUACGUUUUGAUCAUAUAAUAACAAUUAAAUCAGCUAAAAAUUUCUUCUCAUGUACGUUAUAAAUUUUGAUUUCAUCAUAUUAAUGCGUUAUUAAAUUGUAACGUAUUAUAUAUCACUGGGCAAUUAUGCUAAUUGAGUUGAAAAGUUAGUGAAAAAGAAAAAGAUAAAACAAAAAUCAUGGAUCUAUGAUGAUUGUUUUCUUUUUUAACAAGCUAAUAUUAUUAUGUUAUAUGCAAGGGUCAUUAAGAAAUUCUCUAAAUACCUUGUUAUUGUCAAAAAAAAAUUUACUGACAAAUUAAUUUUAGCUAAUUCAUAAUUUAACUUCAAUCCACGACAAUAACCGAAAUGAACAGACAGACUAGCUAGCAAGGUACUAGCCUUGUAACUGCCUCCAUUUAAUGCUAAUUAAGCAAAACUCAAAGAAACUACUGCUGAUGAUCAUGAUAAUGUCCAAAACCCGAGCUGUAAAAAUUAGGAAGAGCAUCGUUGGAAGAAGGAGGAAUCCCAAGAGGUAAUUUGCUUUGAUGAUGAUGAGGAUUAAUAUUUUGAUUAUUCACACCAAAAAAUGGUGAAGGGUUAUUUUUGGAAUCGAUCAAAAUCUUGUUAGCUUGUUGUUCCACAUUCUUCUUUAGCUCUUCCAUCGCGGUCUUCAAUUGUUCAAGUUCAUGCAAUCCUAAUUCGUUUAUAGGAGCUUCCCACCAACAUUGGCGGCAACUUGCUUUCCUUAUCUCACUCAGCACUUCACCAUGCUUCUUCUCAACUUCUAGUUGAUGAAGCACUUGUGUUAGUUGCAUGUUGAGCUCUCGAAUGUUAGCAUUUCGAUGAGCUUCGAUAAGCCUAUCUGUGCUAGACUCUGAAGGCGGGUUAGGAUUUCGGGCAAGAUAAAGAUCAAGGAUUGAAUCAACAUUAGGGUGGCCGAAAGAGAAGGCCUUGUUGGCAGGAGAGAAGACUAUUAGGGCAAUAUCAACACCACAAAGUGUGCUAAGUUCACUGGCUUUUUUGAACACGCCCGCACGGCGUUUGGAGAAAGUUACUUGAAGAUUAUUUUUCUUUGGUAUUUUUGAAAUUGCAAUCUUUUGGCGACCCGCACAAGGCUUCUUCAUCUCCAUUGAUGCAAAUUAAAAUCAAAGAAUACUAAAAAAAUUAUAAAAUGUUCGUUUACUUUUCUCUCUUAUAUAUAUAUAUAAUUUCUUGUGGUAGCUGUUGGGGAAACACAAUAGUAUUUAUAGGGUUAAUCUACUUGAAGUUUGCCUUGUAACUUAAUUAUGUGAUUAAUUGAAGAUUUGCGAGUUACCAAAUUUUAUUCUUUAAUGCUUGAUUAGUGAGAACUAAUUAUCUUUAUUAGUUAGCCUUCAUAAGAUAACAAUUUCAUCUAUGAGGUAAUCUGGUUAAGUUGAUUAACCAUAUUCGUUAGUAUUAAUUUCGAUAUAGAAAAGUCAUAACAUUCUUUCAUUAUAUUUUCUAAUUAAUAUCUUUCUUCCUAUUAUAAUUACUUACUUUCUAAUAGCACAAUAGAAUAGCUAAUUAAGUUCACAUAUGCAUUAAACCUAUGUAACAGUAGCAAUAUAUAUAUUAUUUAAACAGUUACAGAAGGGCAAUAUGCAUUACUCUAUUUGGUUUCAAUAAUUAUUAAUUAACUUAUUGUGUUAUUUGGGCAUUCGUGCUUACUAUAGCCAGCAGCUUCAGUGCCUAAUCCAUAUUAAUUCCUUGCAUUUUAAUGAAACAAGGAGAAAUCAAGUUCAAGAAGGCAAAUCAUAUGUAUCCUCUCUUCAGGAUUUUUUUCAGUUACAUAUUUCUCUAAUAGGAACAUCAUGAUUCUAUGAUUAAUAAAAUAUCUCUACAUUGUUGAUAGAUUUGUUUCAGUCGCUACAAUACUUUUAUCCCAUCUUCUCUUUUCCUGUUUGCUCAAAGGCAGGCAAAGGCUUCAUCCGUUGCGUGACGUGCGCUAAGAUUCAUAUUUCACAGCAUUAUCUUUCGAGUAAAUCACCAUAAGGAAAGAAUGACUAUCCUUGGGCGAGAUAAUGAGUCUUCCUGUCAAAAUAUUCAUGCACAUAUAGCAAUACUCAUGCAUCACUAUUGGAUAAAACAGGAAUUUGUGUGCACAAAAAAAAAAAAAAAAAAAUUAUGCAAACGCAACAGAAUUUAUAUUUUCGAAAUAUGAUUAUCAAUAUCUGAGGAAAAAAAAUCGAAUCUCAUUAGGGAAUCUUGCCACGUGAUCUUGAAUAAUUGACUAAUUGUGGAAGAUGAAGAUGAUUGUGAGGUGAGUUGCCGAUGGUCGUGGUGUUGUGUGGAGGCAAAAGAAAUGGUGGUGGGUUUGGAAGAGAAAGGGAGGAGGGGUUGUCGUGGGAGAGGCCAAGGGUGACUCUUGAGACACGAAGAGAAUGACAUUUCGGGGGAUUUGACGGAGAUUGAACAUGAAAAUUUGGAAAAGAAAGUUUCUUUCUUUCAGGAAUGAGCUAGUGAGCUGCAGCUGGAGUGAAAAGAACUGGAUUUUCCUUCUUUUUUUCUUUUUUCUUUUUUCUUUUUUUUUGGUUCCCUUCAAGGUCGUACGUUUCCGGGCGUUUUUCUGCCAAUUGAAUAAACCCAUCCUGAAUCCUUAACUUAGGCGGCAGAGGAGAUGGUAACGACGUCGUUAGCAGUGUUUUAAAAGCCUACCAACCAAAACGCCA